CCUAGGAGGGAGCUGUACAAAAGGAGGGAAUUGAUUUCUGCCUUGGUUCCGUGAGGAAAAUGAAACUCCCUGCAAUUUCUGUGCGUGUCUCCCUCAGCCCCGCUCCCCUCCCAAAUAACUUUUGAACCCUUGGGUCAGGUUUGGCCCUGGUGGAUCAGGAGGCUGCACUGCAGGGAGUUAAUUGAGAUGAGCAGCUGUAAGAGCAGAGUCUCCAUGAACAUCCCAUGAAGAGGAGUCUGGGGCUCAGCACCAGAAGAUUCAUAUGGAAAAGGGACGUGAAUGCUCCAGAUUCUUAUUGAAGAAUGGCACAGAAAUUUUGCAGGAAAGGAAGAUCACUUUUAUUAGGAAAAACUGUGUUUGUCAGAAAAGGGGAAGAUCCACUGGGUCCAAGGUUAUGAAAAGGUUGUUUCAGUUUCAGCUCUGCAGGUAAGAGGGGUGGAAAUAAAAAUUGUUAACAU